AAGAAAAGAAAAAAAAAAGAAGAAAAUUAAGUUUGAAGCCUGAAAUUAACCUCUUGGUGAGAAUGGAAAUGGAAUGAAAUUUCACUCCUUUCCAGAUGAAGCUUCUAAAGAGGAGACCUGGCAGCCUAGCGAGCAUCCAGCUUGCUCACGCACCUCUUUCUAGUCCUGUGGCCAUCAGUGAGCUUCUCCAGGUCCCUCUUGCCACUUCUCAGAUGUUCCCUUCUGUCCUAGGAGAUUUGUAAAACCAGACACUUGGGAUAUGAUUCUCUAGUGGAGAGUUAGGCCUUUAGGUCUCUAAAAAUUGCCAUUCAUGACCUUCGGGCCUAGGGUUUAGAGAUGAAUGUGCAGUGUGGGUGGCCGCUCUGUGUGUCCUGCUUCUACCAGCUUGGCAUUAAGCACCCGGAGCAUCACCUGCUGGGCAGGCGUGGCCAGGGGUGAGCCCCUCCAUUCGGGGGCUCAGGGUCAAGGCGGAUUCCUUGCUUGGCUUUCCUGCUGAUUUCCUCAUGAAGAUGCCAAUUCGUAUUUAAACAUCUGUUAUCAAUGGUGGUGGUUGUGUGCUGAUUUCUAUAGGUAGAGGCUGUUGUUUUAGGAGCCAGGUUUGCUGGGCCAGCUCAGACCUCUUACAAAGUGAAGAUACUAAUGAUCGUCUUGCAGAGUGCCAUAGUGUCGUGAGGGUGAACUGAGGCAGUGGCUAUGCAUGGUGUCUGCAGCAGCGUUUCUGAGGCUCCAAGAAUAUCAGUUCCUUUUUCAGAAAUGGGGCCAGAUUCUUGGGAUGUAGACAGCGUUCUCUUCACGGAUGCUAACAACUUAUCAAAGCUAUAAUAUAUUAAGUAUCUCUGUUAUAAUAGGAUAGACGCAUUCCUAAAAAAAUGUGUUAAGCAAAAAUCAGAAAAUAAAAAUAACAAGGCCUUGAGGAAAAACACAGUUGGGGCGAACAUUUAAACCUAUACCCCAGUAAUAAUCCUCACAAUGAUACUGACAAAGUUGAAAAGAUAUGUUAAAUUCCUAAUAAUAAAUAUCCCAGUAAAUAUAGGAUUACACACACACACACACACACACACACACACACUUCUGCCUGUGAGAAGGUAGUGAAUAGGAGGAGUAAUGCACGGCCAAUUCCAAGGCUGCUAAAUAUGGAGACAAGGAUAAAAAAGCACAAAGAUAGGAAGAACUACCUGACAGGGGUUCUGAGGCAGCAUUUGUCCAGCUGAGCCAAGAGGAAGACUGGGGUGAAUGGACACGCAUACCGUAUUCCUCCAAGGUUGUGUUUUUGGUUUUGGUUUUGGUUUUUUGUUUGUUUGUUUGUUUGUUUUUUGAGACAGAGUCUCACUCUGUUGCCCAGCCUGGAGUGCAGUGGCACGAUCUCAGCUUACUGCAAGCUCUGCCUCCCGGGUUCACACCAUUCUCCUGCCUCAGCCUCCCGAGUAGCCGGGACUACAGGUGCCCGCCACCAUGUGCCCGGCUAAUUUUUUUUGUAUUUUUAGUAGAGACGAGUUUCACUGUAUUAGCCAGGAUGGUCAUGUUUUUGUUCUUGUUUUUGUUUUAGAGACAGGGUCUCCCUCUGUCACCCAGGCUGGAGUGCAGUGGCACAAUCACGGCUCACUACAGCGUCAGCCUUCCAGGUUGAGGAUCACUCGAUACUCAUGCCUCAGCCUCCCAUGUAGCUGGGGCCACAGGUGCACACCACCACGCCUGACUCAUUUUUUAAAAAAUUUUUUGUAUAGGUGGGGUCUCACCAUGUUGCCCAGGCUAGCCUCGAACUCCUGGGCUCAAGCAAUCCUCUCACCUUGGCCUCCCAAAGUGCUGAGAUUAUAGGUGUGACCCGCCAUGCCCGCCUUUCCUCUGAGUUUUGUUGCAUUCGGGCAGCUCCUGGCUGAGGCAAAACAUUAAAAUGCAUAUGGAAAUGCAGGCUGGGAAAAUGCUUUGAAACCAAUGCAAUUUCUAUGUUAAGGGGACGUUCCCUGAUUCUUUCAGGUAAUUUGCAUUCUAGACUGUAACAUUCUGUACCUCAACUGAUAAAUAAGCCUGUUUGUCAUCCUGCUAGAUGAGAACCUGAUAUAUGAAACCUUUUUUUUUAAUCGUGGUUAAAAAAAACAUAAAAUUUACCAUCAUAAUUAUUUUUAAAUGUACCAUUUGGCAGCAUUAAGUAUAUUUAAACUCUUGUGAAACAAAUUUCUAGAAUGUUUUCAUCUUGCAAAACCGAAACUCUGUACCCAUUAAACAACUCCCCUUUUCUCCCUCUCUUCAACCCUGGUAACCACCAUUCCUUCCUGUUUUUAUGAAUUUGACUACUUUAGAUACCUCAUAUAAGUCAGGUCAUACAGUAUUUGUCUCUUUGUGACUGGCUUCACUUAGCAUAAUGUCCUCAAAGUUUAACUAUGUUGUAGCAUGUAUCAGAAUUUUAUGAAACAUGAAGUCUUAAACACCCCAAAGUACAUUUUCACCCCAAAUGUAUUUGAACAGUGUUACGCUGGGGGUGGGAGGUGGGAGUCCUUCUUGCUUUGCCUGUGCAAUGAAAUGAAUACCCUGCUGUGUUUAUCUCCUUGUCAUGUGAUUCUCCCAGGUUGUUUCUUCAAGUUUCUGAGCCAAACUUAACUCUAAAAAGCAAAUAUUCUGUGUUAAAAGACAGUAAUCAACACGGGAGCUACAUCAGACAUCAUAGGACAAAUUGUCAUCUAGAAGAGUAUAUUUUUAAUGCAGGAGAGUUUUUAAAACCCAGAUUGGUGUGAUUUCAUUCCAGAGAGCUCAGAAAUAUGCUCAGCAAGUCUUGCAGAAGGAAUGUCGUCCCAAGUUUGCCAAGACAUCAAUGGCACUGUUAUUUGAGCACAGGUAUAGCGUGGACUUACUCCCUUUUGUGCGGAAGGCCCCCAAAGACAGUGAAGCUGAGUCCAAGUACGAUCCUCCUUUUGGGUUCCGGAAGUUCUCCAGUAAAGUCCAGAACCUCUUGGAGCUCUUGCCAGAGCACGACCUCCCUGAACACUUGAAAGCCAAGACCUGUCGGCGCUGUGUGGUUAUUGGAAGCGGAGGAAUACUGCACGGAUUAGAACUGGGCCACACCCUGAACCAGUUCGAUGUUGUGAUAAGGUUAAACAGUGCACCAGUUGAGGGAUAUUCAGAACAUGUUGGAAAUAAAACUACUAUAAGGAUGACUUAUCCAGAGGGCGCACCACUGUCCGACCUUGAAUAUUAUUCCAAUGACUUGUUUGUUGCUGUUUUAUUUAAGAGUGUUGAUUUCAACUGGCUUCAAGCAAUGGUAAAAAAUGAAACCCUGCCGUUCUGGGUACGACUCUUCUUUUGGAAGCAGGUGGCAGAAAAAAUCCCACUGCAGCCAAAACAUUUCAGGAUUUUGAAUCCAGUUAUCAUCAAAGAGACUGCCUUUGACAUCCUUCAGUACUCAGAGCCUCAGUCAAGGUUCUGGGGCCGAGAUAAGAACGUCCCCACAAUCGGUGUCAUUGCCGUUGUCUUAGCCACACACCUGUGCGAUGAAGUCAGUUUGGCAGGUUUUGGAUAUGACCUCAAUCAACCCAGAACACCUUUGCACUACUUCGACAAUCAGUGCAUGGCUGCUAUGAACUUUCAGACCAUGCAUAAUGUGACAACGGAAACCAAGUUCCUCUUAAAGCUGGUCAAAGAGGGAGUGGUGAAAGACCUCAGCGGAGGCAUUCAUUGUGAAUUUUGAACACAGAAAACCUCAGUUGAAAAUGCAACUCUAACUCUGAGGGCUGUUUUUGACAGCCUUCUUGAUGUAUUUCUCCAUCCUGCAAAUACUUUGAAGUGCAGCUGAUGUUUUUAACUUUUAAUUUAAAAACACAAAAAAAAUUUUAGCUCUUCCCACUUUUUUUUCCUAUUUAUUUGAGGUCAGUGUUUGUUUUUGCACACCAUUUUGUAAAUGAAACUUAAGAAUUGGAAAGACUUCUCAAAGAGAAUUGUAUGUAAUGAUGUUGUAUUGAUUUUUAAGAAAGUAAUUUAAUUUGUAAAACUUCUGUUCGUUUACACUGCACAUUGAAUACAGAUAACUAAUUGGAAGGAGAGGGGAGGUCACUCUUUUGAUGGUGGCCCUGAGCCUCAUUCUGGUUCCCUGCUGGGCUGCUUGGUGUGACCCACGGAGGAUCCACUCCCAGGAUGACGUGCUCCAUAGCUAUGCUGCUGAAACGGUCUGCAACGCAGCGGCGUGAGGCCUGGGCUGGUCGGAGAAGGUCACAGCCCUUCUCUGUUGGUCUGCCUUCUGUCGAAAGACUCGAGAACCAACCAGGGAAGCUGUCCUGGAGGUCCCUGGUCGGGGAGGGACAUAGAAUCUGUGUCCUCUGACAACUGUGAAACCACCCUGGGCUGCAGAAACCACAGUCUUCCCAGCAAUUAUUACAAUUCUUGAAUUCCUUGGGGAUUUUUUACUGCUCUUUCAAAGCACUUAAGUGUUAGAUCUAACAUGUUCCAGUGUCUGUCUGAGGUGACUUAAAAAAUCAGAACAAAACUAUUAUCCAGAGUCAUGGGAGAGUACACCCUUUCCAGGAAUAAUGUUUUGGGAAAUACUGAAAUGAAAUCUUCCCAGUAUUAUAAAUUGUGUAUUUAAAAAAAAGAAACUUUUCUGAAUGCCUACCUGGCGGUGUAUACCAGGCAGUGUGCCAGUUUAAAAAGAUGAAAAAGAAUAAAAACUUUUGAGGAGCUCUCGUAGUCAGGUUAAUUUGGGUGCUUAUGUCUAUGAAUCUACCCAAAACCUCCUUCUUGGAUGCUGCUGCUAGGUGGAGACCUCUGUGUGGAUGCCAGUAGUGAGGGACAGAGAAUUAAGGCGCCUGGUCCUGCCAGCUGCUUGAGUCCAGACAACUGUGAACCCUUCUGGAGAGAUGCUGGGUGUUGGUGGCUUCCUCCCCGAGGACAGGCUGCCCCUAGCUUCUGUCUCUUAAUGGCUCUAGCCUCUGAUAUCGGAAGAUCUGCUACUCUGUUCCCAGCCUGCCCCAGACUCGGCUGCCGCCAUCGCUGUUCUCCACUCUGUGGCUGCUCUUGUCACUAAUGCUACCUCCUUCCACUUUCCCUUCCUGCAACUGCUUGUGCAGCCCCAGUGCAGCCUUGGCCCCCAGCCCAUUCCAACGUCUUCCCAUCUCCCUCCUCCUCACCAUAUGCAGGGCCAGGAGUCAGAUCAUAGCAUUCAAAGCAGAGUCCCUUCAGUCUCCAGGGGUCUGGGAUCCAGCUCAGAGUGGCCAGGAGAGCAAAAGUCAUACUUCUCUGGUUUUGUGUCUUUACAAAUAAUUUUGUAUGAAUUUUAUUUCCUACUCUAUAAGCUACUGCUUGUUUAAGAGAAAAUGUUUUAAGAUUAUCACCCAUCAAAUGAGUUUAGAAAAUUUGAGACUCUGGAAGAUGGUCCACAGCUCCCUUGUGGCUCAGGUGGGGCUGGGCUUACACCACACAGCUCCACCCCCACAUCCCUCGGGGUUAUUGGAAAAGCCGGAACUUCCUCAGACAAUGUUCUUAAUGCUACUUUCUUAAUGCUACAAGCACCUCCUUGCUGGUAUGAGGAGACUUGCCUACCUGCUUCUCAAGGUUGCAGGGAUAUGUGGUGCUCAAAGCUUCCACUUGGUCAGCUUGCAGCAACUCUCAGGCCCACUCCCAUCCCCAUCCCUCCUCCCUGUAAGGCCCUUCUUGCAUCCUUAGGUUGCUUUGCUCAUGUCUCUCAACUUUUACUUACUCAGGUGGUAAGUAGAUACCCUAAAAAGGCAUAUUUUUGUAGACCUUUUAUACAGUCCACCAGCCAAUAGGAGUUGGCUGGAGAUCAUUCUCAAGAACUUUUCACACUUUGGCAUUCAUUUGUUGGAAGUUUCAUCUUCAUUUCAGAGCUGCGCCCCAUUACUCCCCUACCCCACGCACACUCUUCUGAAAACAGACCUUUGCUAGGUGCCUCUGGGUGUUUUAAAGUUGAUUUCCAGUAACUGAGAAUUCACUGCCACUCUGACAGCUUUGUAUUGCAUUCUAGACCUGCACACACACCCUCUGACAUAAAUGCAAUCACUGGUUCUGAGGCAACUUAGGAAGACUUAUACAUGUUCUGUAUUUUAACAUACUUCUAGAACUUUGAGCUGCAGAAAAUUUCAGUUUUAGGGGUUUUUUAUUUUAAUUUUUGAUUGAUACAUAGUUGAUGUACAUAUUUUGAGGGUCCAUGUGAUAAUUUAAUACAUUCAUGUAAUUAUAAGGAGCAAAUCUGUGUAA
rnacentral:sRNA from 1 species